rnacentral:rRNA from 1 species
CCUACGGGCGGCAGCAGUGAGGAAUAUUGGUCAAUGGACGAGAGUCUGAACCAGCCAAGUAGCGUGAAGGAUGACUGCCCUAUGGGUUGUAAACUUCUUUUAUAAAGGAAUAAAACGAGGCACGUGUGCCUGUUUGCAUGUACUUUAUGAAUAAGGAUCGGCUAACUCCGUGCCAGCAGCCGCGGUAAUACGGAGGAUCCGAGCGUUAUCCGGAUUUAUUGGGUUUAAAGGGAGCGUAGAUGGGUUGUUAAGUCAGUUGUGAAAGGUUGCGGCUCAACCGUGAAAUUGCAAUUGAUACUGGUAGUCUUGAGUACAGUUGAGGUAGGCGGAAUUCGUGGUGUAGCGGUGAAAUGCUUAGAGAUCACGAAGAACACCGAUUGCGAAGGCAGCUUACUAAACUGUGACUGACAUUGAGGCUCGAAAGUGUGGGUAGCAAACAGGAUUAGAUACCCGUGUAGUC